GAGAGAGAGAGAGUUUUGCCUUGCCCAUCAGAUUCGAAGAAGCUUGUUCUUUGGUCAGGAAUGGCUUUAAGACUCAUCGAGUUCCAGUGCAAGGGCUGAUGAGGCCAAUGCAAACCGUUUAGAAGUGGAAAAACUCAAAAACUACUCAACAUGGACCGACCAAGAUCCAUCCGAAAGCCGUCUGCUGCCACUCAGCUCUUAGAUCGCUAUGAGAAGGAAAAAACGAAAAAGAAAAAUGAGAUCCAACAUCCAUGGGUGAAAUUGCAAGGACUUCACGUUCGUGACUCGUCACGGGCCUGCACUUCGGCCGGCUUCGUUGAUGAAAUUCGUCCUCAACACUGCCUUCAGCAUCACCAUUCUUCAUAUGAGUAGAUCAAGUCGGCGGGUUCCCAAAUCUCCAGGAGUUGAUUAUAGGAUGGUGAUCCAAAAUGGAUACGACGGAGAUCUGGAAUUCCAAGAAAGUUGCGCUCGUGAUAAUGAAAUUGAAUAGGGCGACUGUGGUUCUGAGAGAGGGGAGGAGGUCUUUAAUCUGCUGCUAGGAAAAGGAAACUUUUCGUCGAUCGUUCUCUUUUCCUCGCAUCUCUGGAUAGAAAUCCGGAUAAUUGUGAUGGCUCAACUCUUCCAAUUGGAAACGGUGCUUGUAAGUCACAGGAAAGUUUGCUAGAAUGAACUUUUGUGG